rnacentral:rRNA from 1 species
CAACAGGGAUUGCCUUAGUAACUGCGAGUGAAGCGGCAAAAGCUCAAAUUUGAAAUCUGACGUCCUCAGACGUUCGAAUUGUAACCUGAAGAGACAUUUUCGAUUGCGCGGCACAUUCUAAGUUCCUUGGAACAGGAUAUCGCAGAGGGUGAGAAUCCCGUGUGCGAAUGUGCCGUUGUGAUCUCGCGAAGUGUCCUCGACGAGUCGAGUUGUUUGGGAAUGCAGCUCAAAGUGGGUGGUAAAUGUCAUCUAAAGCUAAAUACCGGCGAGAGACCGAUAGCGCACAAGUAGAGUGAUCGAAAGAUGAAAAGCACUUUGAAAAGAGAGUCAAAAAGUACGUGAAAUUGUUGAAAGGGAAGCGCUUGGGACCAGAUCCAACCAAAGGCAAUCAGCGGUGCUUCUGCUCCGUGCACUUGCAUUUACUUGGGACAGCAUCGAUUGAGUCGAUCGGAUAAAGGUCGGAAGAAUGUAGCUCUUCUCGGAGAGUGUUAUAGCUUUCGACGCAAUGCGUUCAGACUCGAUCGAGGAUCGCGCUUCGGCGAGGAUGCUGUCGUAAUGGUCUUCAGCGACCCGUCUUGAAACACGGACCAAGGAGUCUAACAUCUAUGCGAGUGUUUGGGUGUAAAACCCUUGCGCGCAAUGAAAGUGAACGUAGGUGGGAGCCUCUGCGAGGUGCACCAUCGACCGAUCCGGAGGUAUUCCGAUGGAUUCGAGUAAGAGCAUAGCUGUUGGGACCCGAAAGAUGGUGAACUAUGCCUGAAUAGGGUGAAGCCAGAGGAAACUCUGGUGGAGGCUCGCAGCGGUUCUGACGUGCAAAUCGAUCGUCAAAUUUGGGUAUAGGGGCGAAAGACUAAUCGAACCAUCUAGUAGCUGGUUCCUGCCGAAGUUUCCCUCAGGAA